AUGCAUUGUUUGCCCAAGGGCUAACAAGGUCACAUCCUGUAAAUUAUUGGGAGAGUCUUUCAACCUCAGGAAAUGGAUAUUGUCCAACUCCCAAAGAGGGUGCCAUCCCCCAAUAACCCAAGAUAUCUAGGGGUACCAAGCCUAUUAAAUAGAUAUUAGAUAUAUAUAACCAUCAGUGAGGGCUAGUAAAUAAAUCAGGGGUGGUUAACAGGCUUUGGGUGGGGUGUGUUAACUAAAUAACGAGAUGUAAACAUGACAUUGUUCACCCCCACAAAUGAGAGUGCAGUGCCCUGCAUUAACCCCAGGUGUCCUAUUGUCCACAUGCCCCUAGCCAUCCCCUCCAUUGUGAAAUUUCUAUCUGCCUCCUCACCCUAAUAACAGUGAGGGUAGGCACAAUAAAUCGAAUACCUGUAAAUACU